CCUACGGGUGGCAGCAGUGAGGAAUAUUGGUCAAUGGCCGUAAGGCUGAACCAGCCAAGUCGCGUGAAGGAAGAAGGAUCUAUGGUUUGUAAACUUCUUUUAUAGGGGAAUAAAGGUAUCCACGUGUGGAUAUUUGCAUGUACCCUAUGAAUAAGCAUCGGCUAACUCCGUGCCAGCAGCCGCGGUAAUACGGAGGAUGCGAGCGUUAUCCGGAUUUAUUGGGUUUAAAGGGUGCGUAGGUUGUUUUUUAAGUCAGCGGUGAAAGUUUGUGGCUCAACCGUAAAAUUGCAAUUGAUACUGGCAGCCUUGAGUACAGUUGAGGUAGGCGGAAUUCGUGGUGUAGCGGUGAAAUGCUUAGAUAUUAGGAGGAACACCAGUGGCGAAGGCGGCCUACUGGACGGUGACUGACGCUGAGGCUCGAAAGCGUGGGGAGCAAACAGGAUUAGAUACCCCAGUAGUC
rnacentral:rRNA from 1 species